AUGUGGAUGGAGCAAGAGGCCCCGCUACGUUUUUUGCUCUUUGUCUUUCUGCUGCUUACCUUUGUGAGCCUCAAGGAUGGUGCGGAUGCAGAAGAAGGCACAUUUCCAAACACUGGACAAGGAGCAGAUACCACAGAGUCCACCACAUUAUUCUCCACAGAAGAAGAUGAAGAAACUGUGUCAAACCUCCUGCAGUUGAAGGAUUUAUUAAAAAAUGUUAGAACACCUAAAGCGGAAGUGGAACCAACAGAAGGAAUCACUUCUAGUGUUACAGAAUCCACUAGUGCGACAGAUGUGGCAUCUACUGUUGGAGUGACAACCGCAGUUGGAAUCACCACUAGCAGGUUGAAAAUCACCAGUGUUGCAGGUGUCACCUUUGCUCGAAAUCCAUCUGUUAAACGGAAAGGAACAGCAGAUGUUAUGAAGAUAAAUUACCAUGACAAUGUUUUCAAUUAUGAUUAUGAUUCCCUACGCAAAUGGGGCUUAAUAGCUGCGGCAGUCCUCUUCAUUCUUGGCAUUCUCAUCCUUACCUGUGGCAAACAUGGGAAAUCCCGAUGCCGAGGGAAGAAACGGACAAGGAACUAUGAUGUGACCCAGGCCUGAUGUCACAUCACGCCCUUGUGAGGACAACUGCACUGACUGAGAAGAUGGAAAUGCUUAAGUGCAGCAAUGGCCCAUGGAGCAGUUCUGGCAAAUAGGAGUGUCAUGAGGGGUCCGCUGGACACCUCAGUUUGAUCUCCCCAGGCCACAUGUUGAACCACAGUUCCCUGAUGUACAGUUUGGGGAGAUCAAAGUGAGGACAACACCUGAAGCCUCAGCCCUUCCUCAUCUCCCUAUAGUUCCUAUCCACAGCGUGUUGCUACUUCAAGGAUGGUGCUACCUAUGGAUUGACCAUCUAAUGAACUUUCCUUUUUCUUCUAGAUGGAGGUACCUGUCUAGUUUUCCUCCACAACCUUCCAACCCUUGUUUGACCUCCCAAUAUAUCCUUCACCACUCCCACUCCCACAUCUCUGCCCAUUUUUCUUGUCCUCUCUUUGUUCUCUUUUCAUAUUAUUAAACCAGUCCCUCUGGAGAAUCAGCACAUUUGUGAAUUUAUUCAUUAUUUGUGCUCCCCGAGGUCCGAAGAGAUUCAGGCUGCUAUGCAAACUUAAAGGCAGUGCUGCUGAGGCUCUGUGCCAAGGAAAACCCCUUGUACUUGUUCUGAGCUCAAAUUCUGUACUUGCAAUAAAUUGUUGGCGUGGUUUGAUAUUUUUUCUAAG
rnacentral:lncRNA from 1 species